rnacentral:antisense_RNA from 2 species
GUUUAUGGGUGGGUCGUGAUGGGGAUGCGCUCGCGCGCAUGCCGGUUCCUGUGUUCCGGUUCGCCAACCCCGUCACGUGCCCGCCCACCUCA